rnacentral:rRNA from 1 species
AGAGUUGAUCAUGGCUCAGAUUGAACGCUGGCGGCAGGCCUAACACAUGCAAGUCGAACGGUAACAGAAAGCAGCUUGCUGCUUUGCUGACGAGUGGCGGACGGGUGAGUAAUGUCUGGGAAACUGCCUGAUGGAGGGGGAUAACUACUGGAAACGGUAGCUAAUACCGCAUAACGUCGCAAGACCAAAGAGGGGGACCUUCGGGCCUCUUGCCAUCGGAUGUGCCCAGAUGGGAUUAGCUAGUAGGUGGGGUAAAGGCUCACCUAGGCGACGAUCCCUAGCUGGUCUGAGAGGAUGACCAGCCACACUGGAACUGAGACACGGUCCAGACUCCUACGGGAGGCAGCAGUGGGGAAUAUUGCACAAUGGGCGCAAGCCUGAUGCAGCCAUGCCGCGUGUAUGAAGAAGGCCUUCGGGUUGUAAAGUACUUUCAGCGGGGAGGAAGGGAGUAAAGUUAAUACCUUUGCUCGUUGACGUUACCCGCAGAAGAAGCACCGGCUAACUCCGUGCCAGCAGCCGCGGUAAUACGGAGGGUACAAGCGUUAAUCGGAAUUACUGGGCGUAAAGCGCACGCAGGCGGUUUGUUAAGUCAGAUGUGAAAUCCCCGGGCUCAACCUGGGAACUGCAUCUGAUACUGGCAAGCUUGAGUCUCGUAGAGGGGGGUAGAAUUCCAGGUGUAGCGGUGAAAUGCGUAGAGAUCUGGAGGAAUACCGGUGGCGAAGGCGGCCCCCUGGACGAAGACUGACGCUCAGGUGCGAAAGCGUGGGGAGCAAACAGGAUUAGAUACCCUGGUAGUCCAC